GAAUAUUGGACAAUGGGCGCAAGCCUGAUCCAGCCAUGCCGCGUGAGUGAUGAAGGUCUUAGGAUUGUAAAGCUCUUUCACCGGAGAAGAUAAUGACGGUAUCCGGAGAAGACGCCCCGGCCAACUUCGUUCCAGCAGCCGCGGUAAUACGAAGGGGGCUAGCGUUGUUCGGAAUUACUGGGCGUAAAGCGCACGUAGGCGGAUAUUUAAGUCAGGGGUGAAAUCCCAGAGCUCAACUCUGGAACUGCCUCUGAUACUGGGUAUCUUGAGUAUGGAAGAGGUGAGUGGAAUUGCGAGUGUAGAGGUGAAAUUCGUAGAUAUUCGCAGGAACACCAGUGGCGAAGGCGGCUCACUGGUCCAUAACUGACGCUGAGGUGCGAAAGCGUGGGGAGCAAACAGG
rnacentral:rRNA from 1 species